UAAUUACUCCAUCCGUCUCAUAAUUCUUGUUUUAGAUUUGUCUAGAUAUAAGUGUAUCUAGUCACGUUUUGGUAUUUAGAUACAUCACUUCUAGACAAACCUAAGAUAAGAAUUUUAAAAUGAAGGGAGUAUAAG
rnacentral:pre_miRNA from 1 species